AUUGAACGCUGGCGGCAUGCCUUACACAUGCAAGUCGAACGGCAGCACGGGAGCAAUCCUGGUGGCGAGUGGCGAACGGGUGAGUAAUACAUCGGAACGUGCCCAAUCGUGGGGGAUAACGUAGCGAAAGCUACGCUAAUACCGCAUACGAUCUACGGAUGAAAGCAGGGGAUCGCAAGACCUUGCGCGAAUGGAGCGGCCGAUGGCAGAUUAGGUAGUUGGUGGGGUAAAGGCCUACCAAGCCGACGAUCUGUAGCUGGUCUGAGAGGACGACCAGCCACACUGGGACUGAGACAUGGCCCAGACUCCUACGGGAGGCAGCAGGGGGGAAUUUUGGACAAUGGGCGAAAGCCUGAUCCAGCCAUGCCGCGUGUCUGAAGAAGGCCUUCGGGUUGUAAAGGACUUUUGUCGGGGAGGAAAUCCCCAGCGCUAAUACCGCUGGGGGAUGACAGUACCUGAAGAAUAAGCACCGGCUAACUACGUGCCAGCCGCCGCCGUAAGAC
rnacentral:rRNA from 1 species